rnacentral:rRNA from 1 species
GCACAAGCGGUGGAGCAUGUGGUUUAAUACGACGCUACGCGUGGAACCUUACCAAGGCUUGACAUGUAUGUGGUAGCCAACCGAAAGGACGGCGACUCCGCAAGGAGAGCAUACACAGGUGUUGCAUGGCUGUCGUCAGCUCGUGUCGUGAGAUGUUGGGUUAAGUCCCGCAACGAGCGCAACCCUCGUUGUUAGUUGCUAACCCGCAAGGGAGCACUCUAGCGAGACCGCCUGUGUUUAACAGGAGGAAGGUGGGGAUGACGUCAAGUCAGUACGGCCCUUAUGCCUUGGGCUACACACGUGCUACAAUCCCUGCUACAAAGAGAGGCAAGACCGCAAGGUGGAGCAAAUCUCAAAAAAGCAGGGCCAGUUCAGAUUGAGGGCUGCAACUCGCCC